CGAAGGGUGCAAGCGUUACUCGGAAUUACUGGGCGUAAAGCGUGCGUAGGUGGUCUGUUAAGUCUGAUGUGAAAGCCCUGGGCUCAACCUGGGAAUUGCAUUGGAUACUGGCAGGCUAGAGUGCGGUAGAGGGUAGUGGAAUUCCCGGUGUAGCAGUGAAAUGCGUAGAGAUCGGGAGGAACACCAGUGGCGAAGGCGACUACCUGGACCAGCACUGACACUGAGGCACGAAAGCGGUGGGGAGCAAACAGGAUUAGAUACCCUGGUAGUCCACGCCCUAAACGAUGCGAACUGGAUGUUGGGAGCAACUAGGCUCUCAGUAUCGAAGCUAACGCGUUAAGUUCGCCGCCUGGGGAGUACGGUCGCAAGACUG
rnacentral:rRNA from 1 species